AUUGCAAAACACCAUAAUGUCUUUUUGACUUACUUCAAGAUCACCAAUAAGACCUUUAAGCCAUAAAGCUUCUUUCACAGCUUCUAUAGCUGCCAUAUACGCUGCUUUUGGAGUUGAUAAGGCAAUGGUAGAUUGUAAAGUUUUGCACACAAGCUUAUAACACUACCUCCAAGUGUGAAAACAUAAUCAAUUAAUGAUCUCCUACGAUCAAGAUCAACUACAUAGUCUGAGUCACAGAAUCUAGUAACAUGAUUAUGAACUUCAUUUAUUCCUCUGCCAAAUACCAAUCCCAUAUCAGUUGAACCCUUCAAGUAUAUGAGAAUCCAUUUCACAACUUGCCAAUAAGCCUUCCUUGGAUUAUCCAUAUAAUGACUAACAACACUCACUGCAUGUGCAAUAUCUGGGGUCUCAUACAAAUCAUGGCAUACAUCAGGCUUCCAAUUGCAUUAAAGUAAGAUUGCAGGGUGUGGGAGAUCACAGAGGGGACAAGGAGGAAGAGAAACUUAAGUAAUUUGGCCUAUAGUCUGAGAUAGGAAUCCCUCACUGGCGUGACCAUCACCAUCAUGCCAAAUGUCUGAUAGCUUAGAGUAUGAAAUAAUUUCUGAGAACUGCCAAAGAAACAAAUGGAUCAAGUGGCAUUGGCAGACAUACCCUACUUCUGCUCUUCCCUUAUCAUCCCUUGUGUUGAAUUCUGUGCUUAAUUAGAAACUCACUGAAACAAUGAUAGUGGUCACUAGUAAUGUUCUGCAUGGACCACUGUACUGCUAUGUCUUAUGCCAUUUUGAUGCUCGAUGCUUCAAUUAAUUAAAUACGUGCUUCCUCUUGAAGUGAUCA